rnacentral:rRNA from 1 species
GUAGAGAACUUUCAGAGAUGGAUUGGUGCCUUCGGGAACUCUGAGGCAGGCGCUGCAUGGCUGUCGUCAGCUCGUGUUGUGAAGUGUUGGGUUAAGUCCCGCAACGAGCGCAACCCUUAUCCUUUGUUGCCAGCGGUCCGGCCGGGAACUCAAAGGAGACUGCCAGUGAUAAACUGGAGGAAGGUGGGGAUGACGUCAAGUCAUCAUGGCCCUUACGAGUAGGGCUACACACGUGCUACAAUGGCGCAUA